UACGUAGGGUGCAAGCGUUGUCCGGAAUUAUUGGGCGUAAAGAGCUCGUAGGCGGUCUGCCGCGUCUGCUGUGAAAACUCAGGGCUUAACCCUGAGCUUGCAGUGGGUACGGGCAGACUAGAGUGCGGUAGGGGAGACUGGAAUUCCUGGUGUAGCGGUGAAAUGCGCAGAUAUCAGGAGGAACACCGGUGGCGAAGGCGGGGUCUCUGGGGCCGUAACUGACGCUGGAGGAGCG
rnacentral:rRNA from 1 species